rfam:Clostridiales bacterium 59_14 Ley3_66761_scaffold_1301, whole genome shotgun sequence.
AGAGCGCUUGCAUGGCAUGCAAGAGGUCAGCGGUUCGAUCCCGCUAUUCUCCA